GGCCGGCCUCUUUCAUCCUGGCUGCCGCCCGCUGGUGAGCUGAGCGCUCCUUCCCCCGCAGCGAGCAGGGGCGACGGAAAGUUGGCGGUGAUGUGGCCCCCCCGCAGAAAGGCCUCGGAGAACGGCCUGGAGCAGGAGGAGCGCAAACCUUGAGGUUUGAGCAGGCUGGGACCCCCGGCCGGAAGUAACGUGCGUGUCAGAGGAACAGGGCGGGGUGCGUCUAGUAAAAGGCCUGGAGACGGGUCGGCCCUCUGCAUUGGGGAAGAUGAAAUCGACUUGACUUUGUGAAAUUGACCAGCCCCCUCUAUAAAACUUACAGUCCCCCAUUGGGAAACUGACCACCACCCACAACUCCGCCAGUGAAACUGCCCAGCCCUUCUCUGCCAAGCAAACUGAACUACUCUCUCCCUUGACUGUUAAGAGGGCCGGAGUUACCGCCGCGGCUGCCCCACUACCCCCACCCCCAAUAAAGCCUCUUCUUUCAGGGCA